UCUAAGAUCGUCGAGAUUGGUGAUCCGCCGCAUGCAGCGCCAAGUUUCCGGCCCGCAUCCAUCUAGGCUAAGUGAGUAAGUAAGGAGUAAACAGCAGAGAGAAUAACGUCUGGUUAAAAGCGCAAGUUUCUGAACGUAUAAUAAAAGGUGUGUCAAGGACAGAAAAGGUAUGUGCAACUAUUAAAAUAAAUUCAAUUAAAUAUAUGAAGACUUUCAUUUCAGGACUUCACCUAAACAUAGGGAAGCUACAAUCUACCCUUACAAGAACCUAUCAAGAGCCUACGAACACCUGUGUAAUGGGCUCAAUUGUUUUCUCAACAGGCAACUGGCGGUUGAGAACGACGAUGGCGAUCAACUAUUGACCUCUAUCAGGAGCCAAGGAACCUCUCGACCAGCCCCUCGGCUGUCCCUAGGUCCACGAAGACGUAGGACGUAAAGUCAGGGUUAAGCUCUGUGGGCACCGUGAAAGCCUGCCUGCUAAAAAUAGUCCCGGACCGUUCUAAAAAUAGGGCCCCGAACACGUACGCCGUUUAUUCGUACGUACACCUCGAGCAAGCCAAACCGAGGGAUAGAAUGCACCUUGGUGCGGGCAUAGUCUUGCACAGUAUGACAUAUCGGACCGACCGUUUUCAUUCUGCGAGACACGGACGCCUCUCUGCCACCGCGCGAGACCGCGAUGAAUGAACGAGUACGCGCCGUACUCUUGGACGUGUACGUGGCUUCCGUGCGUGCACGGUCUUUUGCUGCCUGGGCGCAUGCCUCGCGUAAUAAUAGCCACCGACGAUUUUGGAUAAGCAGCUUUACCCCGUAAUGGAGCCGUAUCGAUCUGGAAAUGGACGAGAUAAAAACCGUUGCUUCGUAGCCAGGCUCGGGAUUAAUUACAUUAGGCCUUUCGCAAGGGACUGUGGAAUAUACAAUGACAGCGAGACGUGCAGAUGAACCCUAUUCGUCAUAAUAGUAGGGGGACCAGAAUGUAAUGUCGUUUCUGCGAAUGUCGAUACUUGUUUAUCAUUUAUCAGCUCAUUUUAUACCAAUCGAUUUUUAUCGAUCAGAUAUCGAAAAUCUGCACACUGGAUAACAAAAGGUUGUUGAUAACGAUGGCGAUUACGUAAUUGAUUAAAAAUAAAAACUUGCUAUUUUAUCUGUUUAAAUUUAAUGUAAAAGAAACGACAUUACUUUCUGGUCAUACUAAUAUCAUGGUGAGACGUACAUACAUGCGUGAAGUUGCUAAAGAAGGCUACUCGUUGUAAUAUAAGCGAAAUGAGGUAGUCAGUUCGGUUCAGUUCUUUUAUUAAAGUGAGUAAGUUUGAAAUUAUCAAAGUUAUUUCACUUACAUCAUGUUUUUUAAUACAUAUAAUUUUUCUUAACUUACAGGUUACGCACGUCUCUCAUCGCGUGGGAUCCAUUCACUUCUUCACUCCGAUAUACAAUCAACACACUCACGUCAUCCACGCUCUAAAUUUAACAUUUUAUGUAAAUGAGGUAGUCUUACGGAAUAGCGAAAUGGAAUAGUCCUAUAGAGAAGUACAGAACCUCGGUUGAAUUUUCCAUCAACAAAACAGAAUACCACGGAAUAUAUUACAGCGAGACAUCCACGGGCAAAGUAGCGGAAGAACGCUAUUCGUUAUAAUACAGGCGAAAUGGAACAGUCUAAUAGAGAAGUGCAGAGUCUCGGUUGAAUUUCCCAGCAUCAAAACAGAAUACCACAGAAUUUAUUAUAACGAGACAUCCACGGGCAAAGUCGCGGAAGAACGCUAUUCGUUACACUACAAGCGAAAUUGAACAGUCCGAUAGAGAAGUGCAGAGUCUCAGUUGAAUUUUCCAUCGACAAAACGUUAACCCAGUAAUUCGUCUUCGUCUGUGUACACCAGACGACAAUAACGCGCAGUUCAUUGGCGUUUUUGAGACGAACGGAGGAAUUUUCCCGAGGACACGCGCGUGCCUUCGGUAGCCGGAGGGCUCAAGGUAUUAUUAAUAACGACGCAUUCUAAAAAUACACCCGAAAUAUGUGUGACGCCGGUGCAAGUAAGAUGCACUUGAAUGCAGUCGAACCGAGAGGGAGAAUACACGCCAAGGUGUACGAGGUACGCAUUCCAAUGGGCGGGUUAUCAGAGACGGAUCCAUCCCACCUUCCAUGCUUGGAAUGCAUCUCUGGUCUUUUUUCUUUCUCUCACUUUGAGGGCUUAAGGCUCGUUCAUACUCGCGGCUGGUACACGCUCGAAAAACGUGGACGCCGAAAACAGGGGAGGGAAACGGGCCUAGCGGUCAGUGACACCGGUUUUAAUCGGACCGAACGAGAGGGAACGCGGUUCCAAAGAAAUAUGUCACCGAUACUUUCGCGUUCUCUUCGGACUCGCUCCCGUUUCGUCGUCCAUUUUAAUGUAGCCACGAGUUCCUACGAUCGAAUCACCCUGAAUCGUUCCUGUAGCAUAGGAAUUAAUAGAGAAAGCUAGUUACGAAAUAUCCAGAGGAAUAUCUUUGAAAAUAAAUGAUAUUAAAUUCAUAUAAUAUAGUACUUUAAUGCUUCAGUAGCUCCAGCUUCCAGCUACGGUGCAUAUAUCGGAAAACUAGGCGAUUCUAGAUGCUGACGUAUCCAACGCAUUCGUGGAUACUGGCAGCAUCAUUCUAAUUAUAUUUCUCGAUUCGUCGGAACUUUGGAUGGCCGCGAAGACGUCAACGGUCUUUGUUGUCCUAAGGUGGAGUGGAAGAAAUAGACAGUGACGUCAGGUCGAAAUUAUUGGUCUACGAUCGACCUGGCCUUAUCUCUUCGAACCAGCUGGACGGGCGCCGUUCACGUGCAUGAUGUGUAACAAUACGAUACGCGUCGAAUGGUAAAGCUCCUUCUACGGAAGGCUGACUAUCCAUGACGUCGAUGCCUCGAGAGUUUCAGAUGCUCCGCAAUUUUUCGCGACGAUAUCGCGUUGGCAGCCGAGAAGGAUGCUUAUGAGAGGUACACUCGGUUCAAAUGAGCCUGUCCAUGGCACCACAGACGCGAGGUAGGUGUAGGGUUUCCGAUUGGUAGGGUACACGUCAUCAAUCCGAGCCUAACAAGUGGAAGCCUCGAGUCUCCCUCGCAUCUGCGCCGGUGCGGAUAAUAUCAAUCAAGUUCAAUCACAAAGAGACCUUUUAUAAGCUGCCAACUCAGAGACAACCUCUGCGGCGGUAGUUUUUAACCUGUGCGGUUCGGGACCAGGAAACCGAGGUCAACGGAUGUGUCAAAGCGGGAUUCGGUCCUUGGAGGUGUCGCGAUUAGGCUCGAUGACACAUUCCGUCCGGAAGAAUGUCGAUGAGAGCCACAAAGAGUCCUUGUGCUGACCCAAGAAUCGAACUCAAGACUCUCCGGUCGGUCUCGUCGAUGACGCCGUAGGAACGCCGGGAAUGAGCUCACCUCGCUUCAUCGUCAGCUGAUAAAGAACCGAAGGAGUGGAGAUAAUCACUUUUGUUCGCGCUAUCUUCGAUAAUCUACACCAAAGGAACAUAGCACUUGAUAGGAUAUCUUAGAACGAGUUACCGAAGAAUAUUAGUUAUACGUACAUGGGUUAGCAGUAAAAGAUGCGACGAAUUUCAAGUUCGCGUAACGUCGUAACGUAGGGGCGAUUACGAGACGACGGGGGUGUCGUGUUACCCACGAAUUCACGAGGCGCUACUCUACCAACGACCAAACAUACGGGAGAAGACUGAUUUCUGGUUCGACUUUUGGCAAAUUUCCCACAACUGCCUCCCACUGCGUCCCUCCUUCAUUCCCGAAAUCGAAUCGGCAUUUACGAUGGCGCUCCUAAAUCUUCGACUCCGUCAUCGAGAUACAAUUUCACUCCGCCUCGUCUGGCUUUUCUCGGUUCGGCGAUGCUGACAACGCGAGAGAACCACCGAUAACAACCGUUCAGAUAAUGUUCAGUUCCCGUAAAUAACGCGCGCGAAGACGAAACAUUUCUCGAUCCGCCACCAUUCGGGGCAGGGGUUCUCUCGAUGGACCUCGAGAUCGCUAGGUCGAAGCAUUUUCGGUGAGGCUCGUUAUUUUCAUGAAGUUGUUCUGACUUUUCAAUAUUUCAGGAUCGAGAGGAGUUCAUUACGAUCGCUGUAGCUAUAGCAAAGUAAAGGCGUAGAUAGAUCUCACCACAAGACCUCGAGGUCUAGACAAUUUCAAGAAGCUUCAGACUAUGCGCCCGUGUACGCGAUAGCCGAAACAAGCAAAGUCCAGUUCUGAUGGCGUGACAGACGCACACGUGCUUCAAUUAUAACGUAUUUAGUUAUGGUUAUCAUUUUCAUGAAGUAAGUCUGAUUAUUCAAUAACCCAUCGUUGAAAGCGUCAAUUACAAUCGCUGUAGUAAAGAAAGAGGCUAGGUGGAUCGCACCACAAGGUCUCGAGGUCUAAACAUUUUCAAGAGCUUCAGAUUAUUUUCACGAAGUAACUCUGACUUUUCAAUAUUCCAGAAUUGAAAGCGUCAAUUACAAUCGUUACAGCAAAGUAAUAGCUAACCCUAUUGCUUUAUAUUUUCAAUAUUUCAGUAGCGAUCAAGACCUCGUCCUACCGGAACCAACGACCAGCAGCGACGUCAUGGAAUUUACGGGCGAUAAGACGGAUUCCUCGGAUCGUAAAUAUCGCUAAGAAGCGAUCGUUAUAGCUGGUUGUUGCAGAGAGCGAAAAAGAACGCGGGAGGAGGGAUGAAAGGGCGCUCGCGACGCGGUGGAGUAAUCGUGUAAAAUAAAAAGAGAGUUGCGUGGCGUCGGGAAAACGGUAAAAAAGACGGUGUAGUCGGGGAGAGGACACGGUGAGAAAUAAAAGCGAUAUUUUUAUAUCCACGGGUGUAAGCUCGUCGGUGGCGGACGCCACCGGGCCUCGGUCUCUAUUAAUAUCCACGGGCCGGGCUUCCUUUCGGCCUCCGCAGCAAUUCUCUUCGCACAGGCGGACCAACGAUCGGCCACCGGAAAGAGAGCCUCCCGAUCGGGGAAAAAAAAAUUCCGCCGUCCAGCUUCCGCGAAAUCCCAACUUGCGCGACGCUCGCAGAGGAAGGACUCCACCUGUUCUCCAAUUUCAACCCAGUUCUGCAGGACGGCUCGUUGCUGUGGGUGCAUCAUUAAAUGCUGUAACUUGAUUCUUAAUACACAGGUCUCCUUGUGGAUACAGUAUUAAAUGCAAUAACUUGGUACUUUUAGAUAAAUAAGUAACUAAGGGGGUAUUUUAAUUUAGAGCGUCAAUUUUUAGUUCAAAGAAUUUUAUAAAAGGUUUUGCACACAUGCUUAUUCGCAUUUUAAGAACGUACACGAUUCUUUUUCAGGUAAAAAUAAUUAAAAAUUAAACGUAGCACGAGUGCACAACAAAAAUAGUACAAGAAAAUUCUAUGGCAGAUAUAUUCUUAAGGGUGUACACUUUGAGAAAAUGGAAAAUCGACAUUUUGAAAGUUUCAGACUAGAAUAGCCACAUAAAGUAACAUGCCUUUGGACUGUAUGAACUAUAAACAGUCAAGUAUCCAUAACGUAGAUAGUAUAAACAGGCAAACUACUUGGACGAUAUACAUGUGCACUAUGUGAGUAAAACGAUUGAUCAGCAUACUCCUAAAGAAAAAUUAGUUUGAUAUCCUACAUAAGAAAUAGAAGCUUCCACGCUAAUCCAACUUGCAGAAUUAUCGAUAAACGAAUCAAGAGCGAAGAGCCAAAACUUGUUGUGCCAAUAAAUCAACUUUCAACAUUGCGGUAUUGGUCGCUCUAAAAUACCAACAAGGAAGGAACGACCGGCUCCCCUCGACGCGAUACAUUUAUCGAGUAAAUAAACUGGCCAACGAACAAUGUCGAGCACUUUUAUCGCGAAGUUGUCGACGUCUGCGCCCACGAUUGCAUGCCGCUGUGUCCUUGACUGCAUUUGCAUUUGCUCGCAAAAGGCGGACACUGUUCGAACAAUUGAAAAAUCGUGUUCGCCGCGACGAAAAACUGGUACCAGCCGUUUACAUAUGCAUACGGUCGACGUUCGAAGAAUUCACGACCCAAGCCGAACGGAAUUUUAUGACGAGUACAGGAUAUGCCAACGUUCUAUAAACAAUUACGUGGAAAUAAUCGUGAUGUGACUUUUGCAAUUGAAUGUUAAUAUAAUUUGGAUUGCAAUUCUUCUUCGACAAAUAACAAUGUAAGAUUCAUCUUUUAAACCGCAUGUGUUAUCACGUGCCAAAGUAAUUUUAGUACCGUGCGCAACGGAGUCACCGUGGUCCCUUCUUUCAAAAUGUGUAUCUUCAGAAAAUGCGGGCCAAGACAGCCACAGGAGCUCGUUGUAUCCAUUAGCCAAACACCGAUGUUACAAUUACUUUACAUACUGGGUGUCUUGCUCCAUCGGAACUCGAUUUUCAAUCCUUCGGUCACCAAAUUCUGCAAUGUUUCUUAACUGUUCCAGGUCGUACGAGUGGCUCGGUAUACCGUGGCGUAUACCAUGCAUCGAACAAUUCAAGAAUGAAAUAUUUGUUCCUCUUCAACAACACCGUUUGGGAUGCACGCGUGCCUGCGAACGCCUGACAUCGCGGCCUUUGCGCCACUUCGAUUACUAUGUCAAGUUUAGAACGAUUUAUUGUUCGCAGAUAAUUCAUUCGCUUCUUUUUUUUUUCUAUGGAACGCUGAAAACACGGAACUUUGGCCAACGCGUUUCGCAAACUAUGCAAUUACGCCGAUAGCGUGGUUACGGCACACGCAUCGAGGAACGCGAUAACCACUCUCAAGAACAGAGAUAAUCGAACGUUUUAUGUGUUCCAACCGAUAUCGACGAAACUGGUAAACACAGAGGUGCGACACUCACCGUGAACAAAUUUCAACGUUUUAUCCUAAUAAUAAACGAAUAAAAACGUUGAAAGGUAAACGUCCCGAUCCUCGACACGUUUCGCAAUCGUCGUUGCAGUGGAGUGCAACGAAAACUGUAAUCAAUGAUUGAAUCGAAAUUAAUUAAGCCUAGGUUAUAACUUUAUAUGUCUAGUUUACAACGAUUUUUCCGCGAUAGUUGCACAGAUAAACUAGAUAAGAGAUUUGCCUAUCUCCGUUGCCAGGGGUCUCGACGAUUGCCAAGCCGCGGAUGGAGUUGCCAGGCAUUCCUCGACGGCCACCCUCCAUCAUCGAACCAACAACAGUUGAUAUUAAUUUAUUAGUCGAGUGUAAGAAGACGUGCGUUUCAGACGAGAAUUUGUUGAAUCUUUGUCGUGGCAAAGGUGACAAACUCUUAAAUGAAUCGAGUGGACGACGCUCAAUUUUCUCCGCUUCGAUUCAGAGUUCGAUGAACAACAUCCCGACAAAUGCGGCCUUCGUGGAAAGCCGUAGCGCCCCGUGGUGGUCUUUUUGUAUCGUUCGGCAGAAUUACGACGUUGCACUCGGUGCAGUGCAGCCGGCGACAUCCUGCGCCGGAUUCGAAUUCGCGGACUGCACCCGCUUCUACAGGCUGGACCAAAAUACACGUGCCAAAUGUUUCUCGUAAAUGUAAAACUUCCACACUUACGACCCAUGCUACAUGAUCGACAGCCGUAACUAACCGAGAAAUGCCUUCUCUUUCGAAAGAUACAGUGAAAUACACAUAACAGUCGCUCGAAAUUUGUACAGCGGCCUAUAAGAGCUCCGUAUACACUGUAAUCUUACACCACCCAAGUGAAAAAUAUCGCCUGGCCGCGAAACGUGCCGACAAUUGGUACAUUUACCUUAUAUCGUUUAAUUUGGGACGUUGUGUACGCCGCUCGUAAACAAAUCGGCCAUGCAACUCGGUCGAGCAACGAUUACGCUUCUCGUGUGCAACGAGCCACGAAAUCGGGGGCCUGGGUAGACAUAAACAGAAUUCGCGAACGGUGACUCGACGGCGGACGGCUUAUUUUCGAUAAUGACGAAAAUAUCGUUCCCGAUACCGAGGAACGCGCGCUUAUCCUCCUCUGCUCCACGGGUUUUCCUUGUACCCAUAACUUUUCGCGUUGCAUUUCGAAAAACACGCAUACGGAACGCGCGUCCCCCUCGGGCGACGUUUCUUUUAAUAGAGGCCGUCCUCCAAAACAUAUUUACGAAAGUUUGUUUCUAUGUUUAGCAGGGAACGGUGUACAUAAUUUACUUCGAAUCCGUUUCACGCGACGAGCGAUACUUCAUUUUUCAACGGCGAUACGGUAAAUCCGUUUUCAUCCCACGCUGCCUGGCAAAAUCCCAGCUAUUGCCACAUUCGUGUGUUAACCUUUAUCGGAAGGAAGUCCCUCCUUCAGAUAGGCGCGGAGGUAUUUUCGACCGAGGUUGGGGCUACCUGUUGGUGGCGAUCGUUGCGUAACGUUGUUGAUCUUAGCCCUUCCGUGAAAAUCAGACUCGGAAAAUCAGAAUCGGGAUUAUUCUCCCGAUAGGAAUUAUCUGGAAUUAUCUUUCAACAAGGCGGGAAAAUCAUCGAGAUUGGGGAAGGAAGCUACCAUCUAUUUAUAAUAAAUCAAGUGUUGUUAAUGGAGUCGAAUACUUGUGAAGGCAAGAAUGUUACAAUUGACGAUACCCGAAAGUAUAAAUCGCAUACGAAUUUUUGAGCCACUCGCAUGGAUUAGUUCACGCGGCGUCUGCUAGUGUCGCAAGUAACAAAUUAUUCCAAAAUGGAAACGCCAUUAAUCUACAUUAAUCCUGAUUAAUUCUUCCAGGUCCUUCAUCGUGUACACAUGUAACAGCUUCUUCCUAAUAUAUCCCAAUUAUUUUAAUGCACGGAGAUAUGAUCUGUUGGACUAUUCGAAGGUAUUGGCUGAUUUUUAAUUUGAUGUGUUCGAUAGUAUCUUUAAAACUUUGAACUAAGCAAAUCCCUCAACGACAACGGUCAUUAAGCCAUCGACUCGGGGUACCUACGUAUUAGCUUGCAGCUGGUGAAUUAUCGGUGAUUCGUCCCUCGAGAAUGAGACCAGUAAUUGGUCUCGUUAAAAGUGCAUUCUCGAGUGAAAUUUCCAGACGGUCCACUUCUGUCAGUGAUUCAAAAUCGAAGUAAACGAAAAGUAUUUGUAGCCCAAUGUCCAACUCUCUUUCAACAUUUUAUACGUUUCUUAUUGUAUAUUUCUAGAUAUUCCUCUGCUGAGAAGGCUGAUACUACAGACGAAAACUCGAUCGACAUUUGAAGUUUGCCUUACGGCAACAAUAUACAUCUGUAUUUAUAUGCAGAGUUUUGAAUGCGCCUAUAAUAUGCUGUAUUAUGCUGCAUCAUGAUAUAAUAUGAAUAUACACUAAACUUGUUCCAAGAUGAUAGCAUACGAAUGCAUAAUAAGCUUGUCCUGCGACAAUAUUGUCCUCUUGAGGGACGAAUUCUUAAUUUUUAAGUUUUGAUUGCUUACAACAAGAACUUUGUAUAGUUUAUUUUAUUCAAAGUAUAACAACAAUGCAGACUGUAUAUAGAGUAAGCUCUCUUGCUAUGAUAUUGUAUACUUUGUAAUUCUGCACUAAAAGGUAUUAUGAUAUU